AAAGGAGAAAAAUGGGGGGAGAUGCUCUCACAGGUCAAAACGCGGGGAAAACAAAUGCAAAAUGUAGUUAUGAGUAUUGUACAAUGAAUGAGACCUCAAAGUUAGUACAAGAAAAUCAGCUAUUUUACAGAACUGCUCCUACACUUUAACAAAUCAUCAACACAAUAAACAUAUACUCCUGCUGCUUCUAGCACCAUCUCUGUUUUCAAGACCUCUCAA
rnacentral:misc_RNA from 1 species